rnacentral:tRNA from 1 species
AGGGCUGUGGCUCAGUGGAACAGUGUCCGCUUUGCAUGCAGAAGGUCCCAGGUUCAAUCCCCGACAUCUUCC